AGAAGCAGGAAUAAAAUGAUCUUUUCUAUUUCCAUGAUUUUUUAUGUUUCUGUUUAAAUGGUUAAAUACCCAAUUAGGUUAGAUGCUAAUUAAAUGUAAAAUUACUGGGCUGUUCCAAUAUGCAUGUUAAAGUUGUACUUCUUGGUUGUUUGUAAUUUACCUAACUCUUGAGAGAUCAUCAGAGCAGCCCAGCUGAGUUUAAAGAAGGCUUCCAACUGCCCAGGAUAUGCAUCAGUUCCUGAACAAAAAAAGAACACCCCAGGAUCAACAGAAGCUACUAUCAAAUCCUUCAAACACUACAUGCACCACAUGCUCACAUUUGUCCUAUUUUUGCUACUAUUUAUCCACAAAAAAGCCAAGCCUGAACUCCUUCUUGAGGCCAAAACUUAAAAAUAUACCAAAUGAAUCAGUUCAAAAUUUUACAAAUUUGGUUUGGCUUAAUCAUAACUGAUUCUUCAUACUAUUGACACCGUUGAUUCUUCACACUAUAGAUACCACUCACUAAAAUUACAACUCAGUCACCUCUUCCCAUAUACCAUAUUUCAUUAAAAUCAAUGUAAGAUAAGAAAUGGUUACCAGAUGCCAUCGUUUCAGACCAAACCAUAUGUCAAAUUUUGAAUAAACCUAACAACAUCUGAUUGGUUAAGUAGCAUACCUAGAUUUAUUAAAAUCACUACACUCCUUUAAUGUCUGUAGGAGAACAUGCAUGCACAAGCACACACACGUUGUGUGUGCAUUUAUAUAUAUAUAUAUAUAUAUAUAUAUAUAUAUAUAUGUAUAUGCUACUGCAAAAUUGAAGAGACUUUACCAAGUUCUGUCAUUGACAGGGACAUUAUAUAUAAAGAAUAUACAUACUGUAAUUCACCUCAUCAAGAGUUAAUUUUAUGGCCGGGCACAGUGGCUCACACCUGUAAUCCUAACACUUCGGGAGGCAGAUCACUUUGAGCUCAGGAGAUUUGAGACCAGCCUGGGCAACGUGGCAAAAACCCAUCUCUACAGAAAAAUACAAAAAUGAGCUGGGCGUGGUGACUCCCGCCUGUAGUCCCAGCUGUAUACAUGGGAGGCUGAGGCUGGAGGAUUGCUUGAGCCAGGUAGCAGAGGUUGCAGUGAGCCAAGAUUGUACCAGUGCACUCCGCCCUGGGUGACAGAGCAAGACCUUGUUUCAAAAAAAAAAAAAAGAGUUAAUUGUACCAGGAACAUGUGGUGUCAAAAUUUAAAAUAUGUGAACUCUUUGACCCAGCAAUGCUAUUUUCAGGGAUAUAUCCUAAGAUCAUCACCAGCAAAGUAUAUAAGGAUGUGCAUGCAAAAAUAUUCAUCAUGGCUUUCUUUAUACAAUGAAAAAUUGGAAAUAAACUUCUCAUUAAUGGGAUGCUGGUUAAAGAAAAUCAUUACUGUAAUAUGCAGCCAUCUAAAAGGGUAAUUUAUAUGUAUAUAUAUUUACAUAAGAAAACCCUCAUGUCAUAUUGCUGAGUAAAAAGAAAGAUGUCAAUGAGUAUUCAUGAUGUGAUUCUAUUUAUCCUUGCAAAUGGUGGAAAUUCAAUUAUAUGGUAUUUUCUCUCUUUUCUGUUUGUUUUUCAUAUAUGUAUAUAUUUCCUUUGAAAUCAGAAAAAAAUCAAGCUAUUUUCAUCAGAGGAAAAAAAUCAUUACUCUGUAUUUCAGUCACACUAAAAUAGUCACCCAAGAA
rnacentral:lncRNA from 1 species